rnacentral:rRNA from 1 species
GAUGAACGCUGGCGGCGUGCCUAAUACAUGCAAGUCGAGCGAACGGACGAGAAGCUUGCUUCUCUGACGUUAGCGGCGGACGGGUGAGUAACACGUGGAUAACCUACCUAUAAGACUGGGAUAACUUCGGGAAACCGGAGCUAAUACCGGAUAAUAUUUUGAACCGCAUGGUUCAAAAGUGAAAGACGGUUUUGCUGUCACUUAUAGAUGGAUCCGCGCUGCAUUAGCUAGUUGGUAAGGGAACGGCUUACCAAGGCAACGAUGCAUAGCCGACCUGAGAGGGUGAUCGGCCACACUGGAACUGAGACACGGUCCAGACUCCUACGGGAGGCAGCAGUAGGGAAUCUUCCGCAAUGGGCGAAAGCCUGACGGAGCAACGCCGCGUGAGUGAUGAAGGUCUUCGGAUCGUAAAACUCUGUUAUUAGGGAAGAACAUAUGUGUAAGUAACUGUGCACAUCUUGACGGUACCUAAUCAGAAAGCCACGGCUAACUACGUG